rnacentral:lncRNA from 1 species
CCCUUUAAUCAACUAUUAUUCUGGAUUUUUUUCAAGAUUUUUAAAUAAAACUCAGAGGUUCCUUCUAUUACCCUUUCAAGUCUCUCAUUUGUAGUAUUUUUGGAUCCACUCCAAGGAAAGUGUAAGAUGUGCCUUCUCUCUUCACUCAGAAUAUGUGGUAUUUGUAGGACUAAGGCAUAAUGAGGUGCCUUCUCUCUCUCACCCUACUUAUAAUAUGCUUAAGUGGAGCUUAUGGGUGGAGACAAUUCAAACCUACUUGUAUGUAUUGCAUAGUUAAACCUUGGAUCCAGAAACUAGUCAUACAAUCAAGUCAUAUGUGCAUGUGAGUGCAGUCAAUCAAAAGAGUGAUAAGAAUGAUGGUGACAAUGAGGGGUGAUGACUGUUGGUGAAGAUCUAAUUCUACAAUUGCUCCUUGGGGAUAACAUACCUCCCUAACCUGAAGAGAAGGACUUGGUUGCUUUUUUUUCUCUUUCUUUCUUUCUUUUUGGUGACUUUUGUCCUCUUUCUUUUUGGGGACUUUUGUCCUCUUUCUUUUCUCUCUCUCACUUUAGAUCAAUCAAUCCUUUUAAUGCACCAAUAGUAGUAGGGAGUAUCAACUGAAAUAACUGGAGCUUUAUUGGAUAAGUAGAAAAGACAUAAUGGCAAUGAAUAUUUUUUUGGGUGUCCUCUCCUAGUGUAGGAGUAGAAUAUUUUCUGAGUGGAUAAGGAAUAUGUAUAUGUGGAUGGAUGAAUGCAUACUUCAAGGGUAGGAGCAGCAUAGGUGUGCCUCUAGGAUAGAAAUAACACAGAAUGUAGUACGUAUAUGUGUGUGUGGGUCUUACUUCUAGGGACAGAAGUAGCACGAACUGAACAUGGCAAAGUGGAUGUAAGUGGUUGCAUACUUCUGAAGAUUGGAGUAGCUAAGAUCAAUGGAUGGAGAGCACAUAGUAUUGACUUUAACUGCAUGGCUGAUAAUUUAGGGUCAAUAUACCUUA